rnacentral:misc_RNA from 1 species
GAUGAAGAACGUAGCGAAAUGCGAUACUUGGUGUGGAUUGCAGAAUCCCGUGAACCAUCGAGUCUUUGAACGCAAGUUGCGCCCGAAGCCAUUAGGCCGAGGGCACGCCUGCCUGGGUGUCACACACCGUUACCCUCGCGCCAACGUCCAUCGUUGGCCGCGGCGCGGGGCGUGCGCUGACCUCCCGCGAGCGGGGUCUCGUGGUUGGUUGAAAAUCGAGUUCGCGGUCGAGGGUGCCGUGAUGAAAUGGUGGAUGGGCGACGCCCGAGGCCAAUCACGCGCGACUCUGUCCGGCCCGGACUCCUGGACCCCUUCGGCGUCUCCGGACGCUCUUUGGCGAGACCUCAGGUCAGGCGGGGCUACCCGCUGAGUUUAAGCAUAUCAAUAAGCGGAGGA